AAAAGGUCGGAUGGCGGAAGCACUGCCAACCCCGUCAGAUCCGAAAGGAAGCAGCGGUAACAGACGCUUCCGGGUGUCCGACCUACAAAA
rnacentral:SRP_RNA from 1 species